rnacentral:rRNA from 1 species
GACGAACGCUGGCGGCGUGCUUAACACAUGCAAGUCGAACGGAAAGGCCCUGCUUUUGUGGGGUGCUCGAGUGGCGAACGGGUGAGUAACACGUGAGUAACCUGCCCUUGACUUUGGGAUAACUUCAGGAAACUGGGGCUAAUACCGGAUAGGAGCUCCUGCUGCAUGGUGGGGGUUGGAAAGUUUCGGCGGUUGGGGAUGGGCUCGCGGCUUAUCAGCUUGUUGGUGGGGUAGUGGCUUACCAAGGCUUUGACGGGUAGCCGGCCUGAGAGGGUGACCGGCCACAUUGGGACUGGCGUAAGGCCCAGACUCCAACGGGAGGCAGUAGUGAGGAAUAUUGCAAAAUGGGAGGAAGACUGAUGAAGCAACGCCUCGUGCGGGAUGACGGCCUUCGGGUUGUAAACCGCUUUCGCCUGUGACGAAGCGUGAGUGACGGUAAUGGGUAAAGAAGCACCGGCUAACUACGUG